rnacentral:rRNA from 1 species
GUGGGGAAUAUUGGACAAUGGGCGCAAGCCUGAUCCGGCCAUGCCGCGUGAGUGAUGAAGGCCUUAGGGUUGUAAAGCUCUUUCAGUGGGGACGAUAAUGACGGUACCCACAGAAGAAGCCCCGGCUAACUUCGUGCCAGCAGCCGCGGUAAUACGAAGGGGGCUAGCGUUGUUCGGAUUUACUGGGCGUAAAGCGCACGUAGGCGGAUCGUUAAGUCGGGGGUGAAAUCCUGGAGGUCAACUCCAGAACUGCCUUCGGUACUGGCGAUCUUGAGUCCGGAAGAGGUGAGUGGAACUCCUAGUGUAGAGGUGGAAUUCGUAGAUAUUAGGAAGAACACCAGUGGCGAAGGCGGCUCACUGGUCCGGUACUGACGCUGAGGUGCGAAAGCGUGGGGAGCAAACAGGAUUAGAAACCCGUGUAGUCC